UGCUUCCUGAACCUUAGAGACACAGACGCGUGAGGUGUCAGCACAGGGAGCUUGCUGAGAGUCCAGAGCCCCGGGGAUAGCCACCAGGUGAGCCCCAGGGAUACCCACCAGCAGGUGUGGGUGAGCCAGCGCCCGGACACUCCUACCUGAAGAAGUAGGCUGCAAGGAACAGGAACAGCAGCAAGGGGAGCAGCAGCCAGGCCAGCAGGGGCUGGGGCGCGCCGGGGGCCGGAGGGCCGGGGGCCGGAGCGCCUAGGGGCAGAAGCAGGUCCCCGUCAGGACCCGAGGCACAAGGGGAAGCGGGCUCUGGGCAAGGAAAGGUUCCCAACAGCAGACCUCGCAGUUUGCAAAGUGGCCCUCCCACCAGCCCCCCUUCCCUGAUGCCAGACCCCACUUCAGAGGUCACCAAUUCGUCCCCCCCAUCCCAGCGGCCCAGGACACCAGAACCCUCCUUUACAGUUUACAAACUCCCUUCGUCAACAGUCCUUCUUCCUGGACACCAAAACCUCACUUCACAGUUUGCAAAGUAGUCACUCCCUCUCAACCCUUCUUCCCUGACACGAGAACCCCACUUUACAGUUUGCAAACUCCCUCCUUCAUCUGCCCUUCUUCCCGGACCCCACUUUACAGUUUGCAACUCAGUCCACCAUCCUGGUCCAUUGGGUCCACAAAGGCCCCUCUACUUAGAUGAGCAGCGUUGACACCAAGAAGAAGCUGAGCUGAGGAUGUGAUGACCUGACGUGUCCAAGGCCCCCUGCUGCUGGGUAGUGAAGGCCCAGACCCCCGUGUGACCUGUUUCCCCAGGUCCCAGGGCACCUGUCCCUCCCGCUAACGGGAGGUGGAGGAGGGUGGGAGUGUAGAUGCCCUGCUGCUCUGUCCCAGGACAGUGGCCCGUGGUCGCAUGGUGACCCGGCCUCCCGGAGCCGUGAGCUGCCGACCUCACCCGCCCAGAGGAAAGCUGCUGACCAGGCACCACCCGCGCUCCCCUUUCAUCUGUCUUUCCUGGACCAGAAGGUGCCACGUCCCUGGACCCAACGUGGCUGCCCAGGGCCUGGCCCGCAAGCCUGAACUCCAGGGGGCUCUGGUGGCCCGGCCGCCACCCUCAGAGCCCACCCCUCCCCCAGUGUUCUGACUCAGCUCCUGUCCCCUCAGACUGCCCUGCGGCGCCCUCCUCUCCAAAGCGUCCUCGCCCGCCAAGGAGCACCUCAAAGGCCCCUCGUCCACGAAGCCCACGCAGCUCCCCUGAGGAGAUCCCAGAGGGGCUCUGUGUGCCGUGAGCACACAGCCUAUUCUCCAGGGGGAACAGGCCCGGGGGGCCCGCCUUCACCCCCGUUUCAGUGGAAGCCCCUAGAAGGCAUGACUGGACCGUCAUCACUCUGAGUCACAGAAGCACCAACAGGGCCCCGCAGCCCCCCAUCUCGCACCCCUCCCCACGUAUCCCAAAGUUGUAACGGGUAUCUCACCCCUGGGCCGGGAGCUCUGCCGCCGGGGCCCUGCGCUGACGCCAGCACCCUGUGGGUGGUCAGUGCUAUAUUCCUAAUAAACGAAGGACUCUUACAGACCUGAGUGACUGCUAGACGUGGAAGUAUUAAAACCUGAGGACAGCGGUGAGGAGGUGACCUCAGCCACCGUAAACCUGGCCAACCUACGACACGCCCCCGCUCCAGGCUGCCCCACGCCUCUGCCACCCGAGCUAGUGAUGUUCAGGGACCACCGCAGCUGUGCUGGGAGGCUGGGGAUGCCAGGCUGAGAUCUCUGCUCAGUCCCUCCCUGAGAGCCCCUCCGCUACAGAGGCUCCUCCCUGACCCUAGGAGCCGACCUGCCUGUGGCCUCCCUGCCUGCAGCUCCUUGGAGCACGCCCGAACCCUGCCAGGGCCUUGGAGCAACUCAAGCCCAGACUGAUGGGGGAGACGCCUGCUACCAACGGGCAGAGCUGGGCCCAGCCCCAGAGAGGCCACUCAGCUCCAUCCCUGCCCAUCCAGAUGCAGCCGCAGAGCCUGGCAGGUGCCCUUCUGCUCUCCCGGGGCGUCCCUUCUGUCGAACUCCCCACUUCUGCAUUUGCUCAGCUUAACCUUGGCAGUGACUGACGGGCCAGCUCGUAGGUCCGAGGGCUGGAUGGGCCUAGCUGAGCGUGCAGGCCUGCCGGGAGCUUCAGGUGGGCACCGGGAUCACAGACAGCCCACCCCUGGGGCCGUCAGGGGCUCCAGGGUCCAGCCUCCGCUUUCAUGCUGCCCGGAGUCAAGGCUGCAGUUACAGACGUGGGCAAUUCCAUGGCACACCCUCAAGGACCAAGGCGGAAUGACCCAAGGCCCCCAGAAAGGGGCCGUGUACCCGGACAGAAGCGAUGGGCCACAGGGACAAAUGGGUUCCCCUGCUCGGGGUCUCUGUCAGUUGUCAGCAGCCGCCUCUGUUAUGGAAGAUGGAGGUCAGGCGGGAACAGUCAAGGACCAGCAGGCCCCGUGAGGCUCCGGGAACUGGCGGGGUGUCCAUGCCCUGUCCGCGGGGCUGGCCGCGUCUUAGCCCCAGCUCACGGGGGCCAAGGAGAGGUGCACGUGGCGUGCUCAGUUCUUCCAAUUUACCGAAGGAAGAAAUCUAUAUUUUUACGUAAAAAUUAUCUGAUUUUUAAAUAUUGGUAAGCAAUUCAACCCAAAUACAAUUUUGAAAACGAAUGUGGGUCAGAAAAACCCUCCGCAGGCUGGGCUGUGUUCCCGGGCACCAAUGGGCUCCCGACGGGAAGUCAGGGUGAUGACUAAGAAGUAAUUCAAGUCUCUUUCUGUUUUCAUUUCACGGUGAUGUGACUCAGACUGGGUGGGGCUGAGGGUCACGGCUGGGGAGCAGAGCGGGGCUCUCCUGGAGGUAAGUACCCCGGUGGUCCACUCAGAGCAGCCUUCUCCCCAAAUCUCCUCCAAUUCUAUGCAGCCAAUGCUCCAGGUCAGGUGCGCAUGGAUGUUCAUGCAAAUUUAUGCCCAUGCACGCCUGAGAAGUGUGCACACGUGUGUGUCGGCUUACAUGGAAUCUGGUCCUGGAAUUUGAAAGUCAGGGGCUGCCGUGUGAGUCCUGACCUCAGUCAUGCACCUGCACGCUUAAACUUGUGCGGCUCGCCCGCCGUGCUGGACGGCCCUGUGAGGUCUGUGAUGAGCAAGUUGUGAGCCUUCAUGUGUCAACUCGACUGGCCACAGAGGGCCCAGAUAUUGGGUCAACGUAUCUGAAUAAGCUGGGUGUUUCUAUAGGGAGGCCAUGUGGAUGAGAUCCGGCAUCUGAGCUGGUAUUCUGAGAAAAGCAGAUUGCCCUCUGCACUGGGGCUUGGGCCACAUCCAAUCAGUUGAAGGUCCGAAUAGAACAAAAAGCCGGAGCCUCCCAUGAGUAAGAGGGAAUUCUUCCUGCCUGCCUGCCUUCCAACUGGGGCGUCGCUCCUUCUGUUUCUACGGCAGCCUGCCCGUCUUCAGGCGGAGACUGAAGACUGGCAGUUUCCACAGGAAGACUGGCACCCUGGCUCUGCAGUCGUGGGAGCCAAUCCCUCAUAGUAAAUAUACAUAUACUUAUA